UAAUACAUGCAAGUCGACGAGCUCUCCCAAAUUGAUUUUAUGCUUGCAUAAAUGAUUUUUGGAUUCGGAGCGAGUGGCGAACUGGUGAGUAACACGUGGGUAACCUGCCCCGAAGCGGGGGAUAACAUUUGGAAACAAGUGCUAAUACCGCAUAAUUAGUUGGAACCGCAUGGUUCCAACUUGAAAGAUGGCUCUGCUAUCACUUUGGGAUGGACCCGCGCCGUAUUAGUUAGUUGGUGAGAUAAAAGCCCACCAAGACGAUGAUACGUAGCCGACCUGAGAGGGUAAUCGGCCACAUUGGGACUGAGACACGGCCCAGACUCCUACGGGAGGCAGCAGUAGGGAAUCUUCCACAAUGGACGAAAGUCUGAUGGAGCAACGCCGCGUGAGUGAUGAAGGUUUUCGGAUCGUAAAACUCUGUUGUUAAAGAAGAACAAGUGUUAGAGUAACUGUUAACACUUUGACGGUAUUUAACCAGAAAGCCACGGCUAACUACGUGCCAGCAGCCGCGGUAAUACGUAGGUGGCAAGCGUUGUCCGGAUUUAUUGGGCGUAAAGCGAGCGCAGGCGGUUUUGUAAGUCUGCUGUGAAAGCCCUCAGCUCAACUGAGGAAGUGCAGUGGAAACUACAAAACUUGAGUACAGAAGAGGAAAGUGGAACUCCAUGUGUAGCGGUGAAAUGCGUAGAUAUAUGGAAGAACACCAGUGGCGAAGGCGGCUUUCUGGUCUGUUACUGACGCUGAGGCUCGAAAGCAUGGGUAGCGAACAGGAUUAGAUACCCUGGUAGUCCAUGCCGUAAACGAUGAAUACUAGGUGUUGGAGGGUUUCCGCCCUUCAGUGCCGCAGCUAACGCAUUAAGUAUUCCGCCUGGGGAGUACGACCGCAAGGUUGAAACUCA
rnacentral:rRNA from 2 species